UUUAUGAUCCCCGACGUUGCGUAUUAGCUCUAACUUCUUUCGCUCGGUUUUAUGAUCCCCGACUUUGCGUAUUAGCUCUAAGUUCUUUCGGUCCGUUUUGAUGAUCCCCGACUUUGCGUAUUACCUCUAAGUUCUUUCGGUCGGUUUUAUGAUCCCUUACUUUGCGUAUUAGCUCUAAGUUCUUUCGGUCCGUUUUGAUGAUCCCCGACUUUGCCUAUUACCUCUAAGUUCUUUCGGUCGGUUUUAUGAUCCCUGACUUUGCGUAUUAGCUCUACGUUCUUUCGUCCCUUUUUAAGAUCCCCGAGUUUGCAUAUUAGCUCUAAGUUCUUUUGGUCGGUUUUUAUGAUCCCUGACUUUGCGUAUUAGCUCUAAGUUCUUUCGGUCCGUUUUUAUGAUCCCCGACUUUGCGGAUUAGCUCAAAGUUCUUUUGGUUGUUUUAAUGAUCCCCGACUUUACGUAUUAGCUCUAAGUUCUUUCGAUCCGUUUUUAUGAUCCCCGACUUUGCGUAUUAGCUCUAAGUUCUUUCGGUCGUUUUUUGAUACCCGAGUUUGCGUAUUAGCUCUAAGUUCUUUCGGUCCGUUUUUAUGAUCCCCGACUUUGCGACUUUGCGAAUUAGCUCUAAGUUCUUUCGGUCAUUUUUAUGAUCCCCGACUUUGCGUAUUAGCUCUAAAUUCUUUCGGUCCGUUUUUAUGAUCCCCGACUUUGCGUAUUAGCUCUAAGUUCUUUUGGUCCGUUUUUAUGAUCCCCGACUUUGCGUAUUAGCUCUAAGUUGUUUUCGUCCGUUUUUAUGAUCCCCGACUUUGCGUAUUAGCUCUAAUUUCUUUCGGUCGGUUUUAUGAUCCCCGACUUUGCGUAUUAG
rnacentral:lncRNA from 1 species